GACGAACGCUGGCGGCGUGCUUAACACAUGCAAGUCGAGCGGAAAGGCCCUUUCGGGGGUACUCGAGCGGCGAACGGGUGAGUAACACGUGAGUAAUCUGCCCUUCACUUCGGGAUAGCUUCGGGAAACCGAAAUUAAUACCGGAUAUGACAUGGCCCUGCAUGGGGUUGUGUGGAAAGUUUUUCGGUGGGGGAUGUGCUCGCGGCCUAUCAGCUUGUUGGUGGGGUAAUGGCCUACCAAGGCUUCGACGGGUAGCCGGCCUGAGAGGGUGACCGGCCACACUGGGACUGAGACACGGCCCAGACUCCUACGGGAGGCAGCAGUGGGGAAUAUUGGACAAUGGGCGGAAGCCUGAUCCAGCAACGCCGCGUGAGGGAUGACGGCCUUCGGGUUGUAAACCUCUUUCAGUACCGACGAAGCGCCCUGUCGGGUGGUGACGGUAGGUACAGAAGAAGCACCGGCCAACUACGUGCCAGCAGCCGCGGUAAUAC
rnacentral:rRNA from 1 species